UCCCUGGUAGUCCAGUGGCUAAGACUCUGCACUCCCAAUGCAGGGGGGAGGGGGGUCCAGGUUAGAUUCCUGGUCAGGGAA
rnacentral:tRNA from 1 species